rnacentral:rRNA from 1 species
GUCUACAGCCAUGCUACCCUGAACAAGUCCCAUCUCAUCUGAUCUCGGAAGCUAAGUAGGGUCGGGCCUGGUUAGUACUUGGAUGGGAGACUACCUAGGAAGACCAGGUGCUGUAGGCA